rnacentral:rRNA from 1 species
AACGAACGCUGGCGGCAUGCCUAACACAUGCAAGUCGAACGAGACCUUCGGGUCUAGUGGCGCACGGGUGCGUAACGCGUGGGAACCUGCCCUUAGGUUCGGAAUAACUCCCCGAAAGGGGUGCUAAUACCGGAUAAUGUCUUCGGACCAAAGAUUUAUCGCCUUUGGAUGGGCCCGCGUUGGAUUAGCUAGUUGGUAGGGUAAAAGCCUACCAAGGCGACGAUCCAUAGCUGGUCUGAGAGGAUGAUCAGCCACACUGGGACUGAGACACGGCCCAGACUCCUACGGGAGGCAGCAGUGGGGAAUAUUGGACGAUGGGCGAAAGUCUGAUCCAGCAAUGCCGCGUGAGUGAUGAAGGCCUUAGGGUUGUAAAGCUCUUUUACCCGGGAUGAUAAUGACAGUACCGGGAGAAUAAGCUCCGGCUAACUUCGUG